rnacentral:rRNA from 1 species
UACGGAGGGGCUAGCGUUGUUCGGAAUUACUGGGCGUAAAGCGCACGUAGGCGGACUGUUAAGUCGGGGGUGAAAUCCUGGGGCUCAACCUGGGAAUGGCAUUUGGGACUGCAAGGCUUGAGUGCGGCAGAGGAGACUGGAAUUCCUGGUGUAGCAGUGAAAUGCGUAGAUAGUCAGGAGGAAUACCGAUGGCGAAGGCAGGUCUCUGGGCUGACACUGACGCUCAUGCACGAAAGCGUGGGAGCGAACAGG